CAGCCUCCCAAAGUGGACAUUUGAACAUUUUAAAGCUUCAAUAAGUGAGUUUGCUGAUUCAGUUUGGGUACAACAUUAAUUGGGCGUUUUAAACCUUACAUGGUCCAAAGUCGAGGUCUUUGAGGAAAAGAUAACCAAGGCAGCUUUGUGGACAUAAUGGUUGAAGCUCUGGGAAUCUUCAGACAGUCUCCAUUAAAAUGUAAAUUCCCAGGAGAAAAGGUCUGAUUAUUCCAGUUUCUUCCUAGAUCAAUUCUUAGUCCCUGAUUGCUGAACAAAAAUCAGGAUAUUAAUCCAAGUCAGGGUAGGUUGAAUUAUCAACAAUGAGAACAGUUAAGAGUUGGGAUCAUUUUUUUGGAGGCGGUGGGGGCGGGUGGACAGGGUUGUUGGUCAAAAUACUGCUGUUCAGACAAAAGAAUCUACCCAGGUGCCCCAAAUGGAAAGCAAGUUCUGAAUGCAAGAUACUUGAAUCAUUUUGCCAAGUUAAAAUCAAGAGGACAGGAGACACAGCAGGACCAGACUCACUUAAUAAAAUUCUGGAAGUUAGAGGCAGGUAAGGCGCCUGCUUCAGGGUAAAACUAGAACAAAAUAGGAUUCAAAAGGCAGAUCACAAGUCAGGAAUGUAAUAUCUGGAGUUGUUAUGUACCUGUCUGCAUUUGUUAGUGGUUCUUCCACCAUUUGACCCUGCUCUGUAGAUUAAUGCCUCCCUUGCUAGCCUUUCUGCUUCCCUAUGGAAAAUCUUAGCAACAAAACAUUGAGUGCAUCUGAGAAAUAUGAAAAGUUGAGCAUUCAGUGUUUAGGAGGGGUGGUAACCAAGGCAGCUCUGUAGACACAAUGAUUGAAGCACUUGGAACCUUCAGACACUGUGAGUCUCCAUUAAGAUGUUUCAAUUCCCAGGAUAAAAAUGUCUGAUUAUUCCAGGUUUCUUCCUAGAUGAAUCAGGUAUUUCUUGGAGUGAAGGUAGGGGGUGGGAUGUCAUGUAGCACAGUAGGGACACUGAAGGCCCAUCUUAUGCAUCAAGGCCAUUCUUGGAUAAGGAAGAAUUGUUAGGGGCAGGAGAGUGACUUCAACCUGAGCUUACCACAAAGUCCAAAACCUCAUUGAUUCAUUCAUCAAGACAGCACAUCACAGCAGGGUGCUUCAGAAUGCAAGCUCUGGAACCAAGUGCUUGGGAUCCAUUUCUGGCUCUGUCAGUUACUAACACUGCACUUUCUUCACCAGUCAAAGCAGUUAAUUUGAGUACCUAUCUCACAGGAUUGUACUGACGAGUAAAAGGCUUAACGCACAUAGUGAGUCUAGGAUAGUACAUGGCCCUUAAUAAGCACUCAAUAAAUUUUAGCUAUUACUAGCAUUCAUUUGAAAAAUCUUAAUGAGCACUGAUUAUGUGCCAAGUACUGUGUGAGCUCCUCACCACCCUUUAGCCCAAACCUAUUCUUCCACCGAGUAGGAUAUUCUUAUCCUAGUCAUUCAUUAGAAACAUGGGAGUCAUCUCAACUGCUCCUACCUCCUCAUUACACACACCCGACAGGGUUCCACCUAUUAAACCUCUACCAGCCCCUUCCCUCUUUUCCCAUCUGCAUUGUCACUGCCCGAUUCAGGCCUUCUUCAAUGUCCCAUCUGCAAUAUGACAACAGUUUCCACGGUGUCUUCCUAGGGUCAAUGUCACUCUCAUCUAAUCUAAGAUUUUUAAAAUUCCAAGUUUUGUUAUUAUUUUUUAAACACAUACCUGACAAUAUCAUUCACUUGUUCAAAGGCUUCAGUACUAUUAAACCCUCAUGGGGCCUUUGUGAUCUGGCCCUUCCUGUCUCCGUAGGCCUCCCUCUGUGCCGUCACUAAACAGGCUGGAGUUUCCUGAACGUCCAGUGCUGUUUCACUUCUCUAUGGGUGCUGUUCCUUCUGCUGGGUCACCUACAGCAGACAAUUCCACUUGCCUGACAAUUCAUCCUCCUACGUGAAGGUUCAUUAUUCCAUCAAUAAACACUUUCUAACACUUAUCAUGAGACAAGCCUGGGCCAAGUUCAGGGAGUACAAUGCUGAAUGACAAACUCGACCCUUUCUUUCUCAUAGAAAAAGUAACUUUAGGGCUCUCAAAGGAGGAAUAAAGUUUGGAAAUUAAGGUAAAGUUGUCUGAAAUUUAGCAUUGUUGCCUUUACCAGUUGGAUAUCUUAGCAAACUGGGGAAACUUGGAAACCUUGAUACUUGGGCAU
rnacentral:lncRNA from 1 species